UACGUAGGGGCCUAGCGUUGUCCGGAUUUACUGGGCGUAAAGGGCGUGCAGGCGGUCUGUUAAGUUCAGGGUGAAAGCUCCCGGCUCAACUGGGAGAGGUCCUUGGAUACUGGCAGACUUGAGGGAGGUAGAGGAGAGUGGAAUUCCCGGUGUAGUGGUGAUAUGCGUAGAUAUCGGGAGGAACACCAGUGGCGAAGGCGGCUCUCUGGGCCUUUCCUGACGCUGAGACGCGAAAGCGUGGGGAGCGAGCCGG
rnacentral:rRNA from 1 species